AGAAGGAGGAUGUGCGUGAGGGGGUACUUGGAGGAGAGAGGAGGCUGAUAUUGGGAUGUAAAAUGAAUGAAUAAAUACAAUUUUUAAAAUGAUUGUCUUUCUAAGAAUAGUGGAGGGAAAACUCCAUGGAAUCUAUGCACAUGGCUUUAGCAAAGACUCCUAAUAAUAGGGAAUAAGAAGCCUGAACAUUUCUUAUGACCAGCUUCCUGUAAGGAACUUGGGCCAUUGCCAUACUGUCAUCAAAUGAAAACAUAGGAUCACUGACAAAAAAGGCAUCUCUCUAAGGAGGGUCCACUCAGAAGAGCACAGGUCUCAGAAGGAGCAGAGCUUCUGGAACAGUGUCCAGGUCUACAUUUACAGCCAGGAGGUGGAGCUGAUCCUAGGUCCUCUAUGCACCUUGCCUGCCAAAGGAGAGGUUGCCUCAAGGGAGUGCUCUGACCACAGGGCUCAGAUCCCUAUCACAAAGAUCAUCACUCUUCUGCUCCUGGACAAGAAGAAUUCACCAGGACACAGGAAUCAGUUCAACCCCAGCCCAGUGAUACUGUUUCUUCUCCUGUUGCCUGCUGAUCCAGAUGGAGAACUCUCAUCUACUUAUCUAGCACAAUAUCUGCCUACAUGUCACCAUGCCACCAUGUCACCGUGCUUUCUUCCAUGGCUAUAAUGCAAUAAACAUCUGUAACUGUAAGACGAUUCUGAUUAAAUGGUUUUCUUUAUGAAA
rnacentral:lncRNA from 1 species